CGGAAGGUCCGGGCGUUAUCCGGAUUUAUUGGGUUUAAAGGGAGCGUAGGCCGGAGAUUAAGCGUGUUGUGAAAUUGUAGACGCUCAACGUCUGCACUGCAGCGCGAACUGGUUUCCUUGAGUACGCACAAAGUGGGCGGAAUUCGUGGUGUAGCGGUGAAAUGCUUAGAUAUCACGAAGAACAUCCGAUUGCGAACGGC
rnacentral:rRNA from 1 species